rnacentral:rRNA from 1 species
AUACGUAGGGUGCGAGCGUUGUUCGGAGUUACUGGGCUUAAAGGGUGCGUAGGCGGUAGGAUCAGUUAGCGAUAAAAUAGUCCGGCUUAACCGGAUAUCUGUUGCUAAUACUGUCUUACUAGGAUUUACACGACGUAACCGGAAUUCCGGGUGUAGCGGUGAAAUGCGUAGAUAUUCGGAGGAAUGCCGAAAGCGUAGGCAGGUUACGAGUGUAAGAUUGACGCUGAUGCACGAAGGCGUGGGUAGCGAACAGAAUUAGAAACCCUAGUAGUCC